rnacentral:rRNA from 1 species
GAGUUUGAUCAUGGCUCAGAAUGAACGCUGGCGGCGUGCUUAACACAUGCAAGUCGCACGAGAACUCUCCUGCUUGCAGGAGAUAGUAAAGUGGCGCACGGGUGAGUAACGCGUGGGUAAUCUACCCUCGAAUCGGGGAUAACAUUGCGAAAGCGAUGCUAAUACCGGAUAAUAUCUUGAGUGCUUCGGCUCUUGAGAUCAAAGGUGGCCUCUAUAUAUAAGCUACUGUUUGGGGAUGAGCCCGCGUACCAUUAGCUUGUUGGUAGGGUAAUGGCCUACCAAGGCUUCGAUGGUUAGCUGGUCUGAGAGGAUGAUCAGCCACACUGGAACUGACACACGGUCCAGACUCCUACGGGAGGCAGCAGUGAGGAAUUUUGCGCAAUGGGGGAAACCCUGACGCAGCAACGCCGCGUGAGUGAUGAAGGCCUUCGGGUCGUAAAGCUCUGUCAAAUGGGAAGAGCCUGUUUUAUGCCAAUACCAUAAAGCACUGACGGUACCAUUGAAGGAAGCACCGGCUAACUCCGUGCCAGCAGCCGCGGUAAUACG